UAUAAAUCCCUAAUAGGUAGCAUGCCCAAACAAAACUUGAAAUGAAGUAAUGAAAGCGUGACCGAACGUAGGCUGAAUGUACUAAACCAAAGUGAAAAUGUAGAGCACUCGAAAAAUAGGUUGCCUGUAUUGAACCAGAGUGAAAUGUAACAUAGUUGAACUUAGGCUGCAUGUUCAGAACCAAAGUGAAUAUGUAGCGUAGCAGAACAUAGAUCAAAUGGGCUGACCAUAGGUAGCAUGUAGCGAAUCAAAGUAAAAAUGUUUGGUGGCCGAAAGUAGGAAGAAUGUCCAAAGCAAAAGGGACCAUGUAGCACGGCCCGAGCGAAGGCCAAAUGUACUGGCCCAUAUUGAAAAUGUCCUACGGCUGAACUUAGGCCAAAUGUACUGACCCAAAACAAAAAACGUAGUGUGGCCGAACGUAGGUCAAAUGUAAAAUGCACUGAACCAAAACAAAAAUGUAGCAUGUCGGAAUGUAGGUCAGAUGUAGCGAACCAAGACAAAAAUG